rnacentral:rRNA from 1 species
CCUACGGGCGGCUGCAGUGAGGAAUAUUGGUCAAUGGGCGCGAGCCUGAACCAGCCAAGUAGCGUGAAGGAUGACUGCCCUACGGGUUGUAAACUUCUUUUAUAAAGGGAUAAAGUGAGGCUCGUGUGCCUUUUUGUAUGUACUUUAUGAAUAAGCAUCGGCUAACUCCGUGCCAGCAGCCGCGGUAAUACGGAGGAUUCGAGCGUUAUCCGGAUUUAUUGGGGUUAAAGGGAGCGUAGGUGGGAUGUUAAGUCAGGUGUGAAAGUUUGGGGCUCAACCGGAACAGUGCCAUUGAUACUGGCAGGCUUGAGUAGACGUGAGGUAUGCGGAAUGCGGGGGGUAGCGGUGAAAUGCUUAGAUAUCACGAAGAACUCCGAGUGCGAAAGCAGCAUAC